CCAAGCUUGCACAAACAGCCACAAUAUCUGGGCUAGUAGUAUAAACAUAGAUGUUGUGGUUGUUUGUGCAAGAUUGG